GUACAAUAGUAAUUUAAUUGUGAGGGUAGAACAUAUGCAAAAUUCUUGUUGAUUUUUUUCAGUGAUAGAGCUCUUACCAAGUGCUUUGUAGGCAAGCCCUGUACUACUGAAAUGUAUCCCAGCCCUGUUUAGGAUUUUACAUUACAUUUCUCUCUCUCUCUCUCUCUCUCUCUCUCUCUCUCUCUCUCUCUCGUGCAUGUGUGUGUGUGUGUCUGCACAUUUAUGAAGAACAACUUGCAGUAGUUGAUUCUAGGGAUCAAACUUGGCCAUCAUGAUUAGGGGCAAGCACCCUUACCUGCUGAUCCAUCUUGACAGUCCCAAUACUUUUUUUGAGACAGGGCCUUGCUGUCAUAGAAUUCCCUAUGUAGCUCAGGCUGGCCUGAAAUUCUCCUGCCUCUGCUUCUUAAGUGCUAGGAUGCAGGCAUGUUAUAUAUACUGUAUAUAAUGUAUGUGUAUGUAUUUUAAAAUAUGCAUUGUGACAUAUAUGUAUAUAUACAUAAACACACAUACACAUAUCACAUAUUUAAUAUUAAGAGACCAUAUUUUUAUUCUUGAAAAAAAUGUCUCUGAGUAGAUACCUAUUUCUAUCUGAUAUGAUCUGUUGUCUCUGGUUAGAUACUCACAAGCUUUUGUUUUGUUUUGUUUUGUUUUGUUUUGUUUUGUUUUGUUUUGUUUUGUUUUGUUUGAAAGAGGGUUUCUCUAUUUAGCCCUGGCUGUCCUGGAAGUUGUUCUGUAGACCAGGUUGGCCUCAAACUCCAGAGAUCCACCUGCCUCUGCCUCUCGAGUUCUGGAUUAAAGGUGUGUACCACCACUGCCUGGUGUUCACAAACCUUCAGGCAAGUGGGGUGGAGAGAUGUCUCAGUGGUAAGAGCACUUGCUAUUUUUUGAGAUCCUGAGUGUAGUUCCCAGCAUACACAUCAGUAAACUUACAACAGCCUAUAAAUUUACCAUUGAGGGUUCUAACACCAUCUUCUGGUCUCUGCAGUUACUUGCACACAUCUGGGCAGAUAUUCAGACACCUAUGUAAAAAACAGAAUCU
rnacentral:lncRNA from 1 species